rnacentral:rRNA from 1 species
GGGACCCCGCACAAGCGGUGGAUCAUGUUGUUUAAUUCGAUGAUACGCGAAGAACCUUACCAGGUCUUGACAUCCCCCGCGAUGCUUUAGAGAUAAAGCGGAGGUAUUCGGGGAGACAGGUGGUGCAUGGUUGUCGUCAGCCCGUGUCGUGAGAUGUUGGGUUAAGUCCCGCAACGAGCGCAACCCCUAUUGCUAGUUACCAUCAUUAAGUUGGGGACUCUAGCGAGACUGCCAGUGAUAAACUGGAGGAAGGUGGGGAUGACGUCAAAUCAUCAUGCCCCUUAUGACCUGGGCUACAAACGUGAUACAAUGGCUGGAACAAAGGGAUGCGAAGCAGUGAUGUGGAGCGAAACCCAUAAAAACAGUCUCAGUUCGGAUUGAAGUCUGCAACUCGACUUCAUGAAGUCGGAAUCGCUAGUAAUCGCGGAUCAGAACGCCGCGGUGAAUACGUUCUCGGGGUUU